rnacentral:lncRNA from 1 species
UUCCUUCCUUUCUUCCUUCUUUCUUUCUUUCUUUCUUUCUUUCUUUCUUUCUUUCUUUCUUUCUUUCUUUCUCUCUUUCUUUCUUUCUCUCUUUCUUUCUUUCUUUCCUCUUUCUUUCUUUCUUUCUUUCUUUCUUUCUUUCUUUCCUUCUCUUUAUUUCUCUCUCUCUCUCUCUCUCUCUCUCUCUCUCUCUCUCUAUAUAUAUAUAUA